rnacentral:rRNA from 1 species
GAGUAGCUUGCUACUUUACCUAGCGGCGGACGGGUGAGUAAUGCUUAGGAAUCUGCCUAUUAGUGGGGGACAACAUCUCGAAAGGGAUGCUAAUACCGCAUACGUCCUACGGGAGAAAGCAGGGGACCUUCGGGCCUUGCGCUAAUAGAUGAGCCUAAGUCGGAUUAGCUAGUUGGUGGGGUAAAGGCCUACCAAGGCGACGAUCUGUAGCGGGUCUGAGAGGAUGAUCCGCCACACUGGGACUGAGACACGGCCCAGACUCCUACGGGAGGCAGCAGUGGGGAAUAUUGGACAAUGGGGGGAACCCUGAUCCAGCCAUGCCGCGUGUGUGAAGAAGGCCUUUUGGUUGUAAAGCACUUUAAGCGAGGAGGAGGCUACCGAGAUUAAUACUCUUGGAUAGUGGACGUUACUCGCAGAAUAAGCACCGGCUAACUCUGUGCCAGCAGCCGCGGUAAUACAGAGGGUGCAAGCGUUAAUCGGAUUUACUGGGCGUAAAGCGCGCGUAGGUGGCCAAUUAAGUCAAAUGUGAAAUCCCCGAGCUUAACUUGGGAAUUGCAUUCGAUACUGGUUGGCUAGAGUAUGGGAGAGGAUGGUAGAAUUCCAGGUGUAGCGGUGAAAUGCGUAGAGAUUUGGAGGAACACCGAUGGCGAAGGCAGCCAUCUGGCCUAAUACUGACACUGA